GCAAGAUACCACGGGCGCACGGCGGAUGCCUUGGCACAGGGAGCCGAAGAAGGACGCGGCAAGCUGCGAUAAUCCCCGGCGAGGAGCACACAUCCUUCGACCCGGGGGUCUCCGAAUGGGCGAACCCAUCCACAGCAGUGUGGAUAUCCCCGGCCCGAACACAUAGGGCCGGGGAGGACAACCCGGGGAACUGAAACAUCUAAGUACCCGGAGGAGAGGAAAUCAAUCUCGAGACUCCCCGAGUAGCGGCGAGCGAAAGGGGACCGAUGGCCAAACCGUCGAGCGGGCAUACCCGGCAGGGGUUCCGCCGACGGGGUUGCAGGGCCGCGCAUCCGGGGGCUGCCGCCCCCGGGCGCAGGUCCGGCUGGGGAGCGGAACGGCAUGGGAGGGCCGGCCGCAGCGGGUGACAGCCCCGUACGCGAACCCAGACCGGACGGCGCGACGCGGUCCCUGAGUAGGGCCGGGCACGUGAAACCCGGUCCGAACCUGGGUGGACCACCAUCCAAGCCUGAGUACUACCCUGUGACCGAUAGCGCACCAGUACCGUGAGGGAAAGGUGAAAAGCACCCCGGGAGGGGAGUGAAACAGUACCUGAAACCGUGCGCCCACGAGCAGUCGGAGCACCUUUAUGGUGUGACGGCGUGCCUUUUGUAGAAUGAGCCAGCGAGUCGCUGGCGCGGGGCGAGGUUAACCGAAAGGGAGCCGGAGCGAAAGCGAGCCUUAACAGGGCGACUUGAGUCCCGCGCCGCGGACGCGAAGCCGGGUGAGCUAUCCGUGGGCAGGCUGAAGCGGGGGUAAGACCCCGUGGAGGGCCGAACGCACGUCGGUUGAAAACGGCGGCGAUGACCUGCGGAUAGGGGUGAAAGGCCAAUCAAACCCGGAGAUAUCUCGUUCUCCCCGAAAUAGCUUUAGGGCUAGCGUCGCGCGUUCACCGCCGGAGGUAGAGCACCGGAUGGACGAGGGGGCUUCGCCGCCUACCGAAUCCAACCGAACUCCGAAUGCCGGCGGCCCAGAGCGCGGCAGUCAGAGCAUGUGGGCUAAGCUGUGUGCUCGAGAGGGAAACAGCCCGGACCGCCCGCUAAGGUCCCCAAGUUCCAGCCGAGUGGCAAAGGAUGUGCGUCCGCCCAGACAACCAGGAUGUUGGCUUAGAAGCAGCCAUCCAUUCAAAGAGUGCGUAACAGCUCACUGGUCGAGUGGACAUGCGCCGACAAUACACGGGGCUAAGCUGGACACCGAAGCGGCGGGAUUUUGAUUUACAGAAUCGGUAGGGGAGCUUCCCAUGGGCGGAGAAGCCGGAGGGCGACCGACGGUGGAGCGCAUGGGAGUGAGAAUGCUGGCAUGAGUAGCGAGAGACGAGAGAGUAACUCGUCCGCCGUGAACCCGAGGUUUCCUGGGCAAGGCUAAUCCUCCCAGGGUCAGUCGGGGGCUAAGGCGAGGCCGGGAGGCGUAGCCGACGCGCAGCAGGCAGACAUUCCUGCACCGCGCACGCGGCGCUACGACCGACGGGGCGACGGAUGGGGGUGGCUCGGCGGGGUUCUGGACGUCCCCGUGAUGGAGCGCGGCCCGCGGACCAGGGAAAUCCGGUCCGCACACAGGGCGAGGCUCCGGACGAAGCGACUGAGCGAAGCGAGUGAGCCCGAGGUCCCUAGAAAAACCCCUAGGCAGGCGCGUGCGCGCCCGUACCGCAAACCGACACAGGUGGGUGGGUAGAACAUACCGAGGCGAUCGGGUCAACCAUGGUCAAGGAACUCGGCACAAUGGCCCCGUAACUUCGGGAGAAGGGGUGCCCGCGCGUACGUGAACCGGCUUGCCCGGGGAGCGGAGGCGGGCCGCAGUGGAGAGGCCCAAGCGACUGUUUACCAAAAACACAGGACUCUGCAGAAGCCGCAAGGCGACGUAUAGGGUCUGACGCCUGCCCGGUGCUGGAAGGUUACGCGGAUGAGUUAGCGCAAGCGAAGCCCUGAAGCCAAGCCCCAGUAAACGGCGGCCGUAACUAUAACGGUCCUAAGGUAGCGAAAUUCCUUGUCGGGUAAGUUCCGACCUGCACGAAUGGCGUAACGACUUGGGCACUGUCUCAACC
rnacentral:rRNA from 1 species